rnacentral:lncRNA from 1 species
CCCUCUGUAACAUCCGCAUCCUUAUCUCGCAGUCGGUACCGUAACUCCGGCGUUCGACCAGCCGCGCACUCCUGCCCUGCCGUUACAAUUUGUUUGCCAUCUGCUGGGGUCUGGGAAUCAGCUGCACCCUACGAGACUUCACCAACCUGCCUUAACACUGUCCCAUCGCACAACCUUACCUCGCUCCCCUAUACACCGCUGUCGUACACGAGUGGGCGUCACGCCCUGGACUACUUCUAGUUCCUCCAGCCUAUUCGUGUCAUUCGCUACUGAGAUGGAUGCUCAGAUCUUGGAUUGUGCCACAGUUCCCGACCUGCUGCAGUUCUUGUGAGCGAGAGCCGUUCGUCGGUGUCUGUAGUGCGGAUGUGACCUGGCCGACGGUCGACGCGUACACCUUGGACAGCGGCUUAUUUUCGGUGACAGAAACUCCUGAUUUCCUGUAAUGGUCCAUUCAUGAGUCAGAAAGUGACGAUGGCGUGGGAUGAGGUGAGAAGACUGUGACACCGCGAUUUUUCAUCCGGGCGGCUUGGUAUGUAUCCUGGAUGCCGUCAUUAUGCACGCAAACAUGUUAUCAUAGUCUCUUGAGCACAUCCAGAAUUUAAGUACCCUUCUCGACGCGCAUGAGUCGGACCUGUAUCACUCGCUCGACUGAAACCAUCAAUACCUUCAUUUCGUGGCAGCUCUGACCCCAAACCGGUAGGCUACCACUUGCAGACUCAUUCAUUUAUACCCCUAGCAACAGUGGGCAGGCUCAGUUGAGAGCUUUCUCUUGGGCAGUGCGCUUCACGAGCUCGGGCGCCCCAGCCCUCGCUUGCGAUUGAUAUCUAUUAAGUCCAUUGGAACAACACUGGUUAUAGACAUCUACCAUUCUGCGGCAACGACGCUGCACCAGCGAGUGGCCUUCUUCUCAGCGGCGAGCAACAGCGCUUUAAAACCAGGGAACACGGCCAUUUGCAGCGCUGAUACACUCAUACAAGACCAACAUCACCUGUGCGGGAGGUCGCUCGAGCCGGGGCAGCGGUGCGCCGUUGGUCGACAUGACGCGUUCAGAGCAGCAGCUGUUGUCGGGCUAUGAGCAUCA